UACGUAGGGGGCAAGCGUUGUCCGGAUUUAUUGGGCGUAAAGAGCGUGUAGGCGGCUAUACAGGUCCGCUGUGAAAACUCGAGGCUCAACCUCGAGACGUCGGUUGAAACCGUUUGGCUAGAGUCCGGAAGAGGAGAGUGGAAUUCCCGGUGUAGCGGUGAAAUGCGCAGAUAUCGGGAAGAACACCCGUGGCGAAGGCGGCUCUCUGGGACGGUACUGACGCUGAGACGCGAAAGCGUGGGGAGCGAACAGG
rnacentral:rRNA from 1 species